rnacentral:lncRNA from 1 species
CUCAUUACAAUUAUUAUCACACUAUUUCACAUAAUAAUGAGGACUACUAAAGCCACUUAUCCUGGACCAUCACUCCAUUUCCUAACUUGUCCCAGCUAUAUUCUCAUUUCCUGAAGAGAACAAUGAAAGAAAAGGGUGAGCUUAACUAGCCCAGUAAGAAAUAUCAUGACUAUGAUAAUGCAGAAUAAAUUAUCCUUAGCCUUCAAU